rnacentral:rRNA from 1 species
AUUGAACGCUGGCGGCAGGCCUAACACAUGCAGGUCGAGCGGAUGAAGGGAGCUUGCUCCUGGAUUCAGCGGCGGACGGGUGAGUAAUGCCUAGGAAUCUGCCUGGUAGUGGGGGAUAACGUCCGGAAACGGGCGCUAAUACCGCAUACGUCCUGAGGGAGAAAGUGGGGGAUCUUCGGACCUCACGCUAUCAGAUGAGCCUAGGUCGGAUUAGCUAGUUGGUGGGGUAAAGGCUUACCAAGGCGACGAUCCGUAACUGGUCUGAGAGGAUGAUCAGUCACACUGGAACUGAGACACGGUCCAGACUCCUACGGGAGGCAGCAGUGGGGAAUAUUGGACAAUGGGCGAAAGCCUGAUCCAGCCAUGCCGCGUGUGUGAAGAAGGUCUUCGGAUUGUAAAGCACUUUAAGUUGGGAGGAAGGGCAGUAAGUUAAUACCUUGCUGUUUUGACGUUACCAACAGAAUAAGCACCGGCUAACUUCGUG